CCUACGGGAGGCAGCAGUGAGGAAUAUUGGUCAAUGGGCGCGAGUCUGAACCAGCCAAGUCGCGUGAAGGAUGACGGCUCUAUGGGUUGUAAACUUCUUUUAUAUGGGGAUAAAACGUUCGACGUGUAGGAUUUUGUAUGUACCAUAUGAAUAAGGAUCGGCUAACUCCGUGCCAGCAGCCGCGGUAAUACGGAGGAUCCGAGCGUUAUCCGGAUUUAUUGGGUUUAAAGGGUGCGUAGGAGGAGUGUUAAGUCAGUUGUGAAAGUUCGCGGCUCAACCGUAGAAUUGCAGUUGAAACUGGUAGGCUUGAGUAUAGUAGAGGCGGGCGGAAUGCAUGGUGUAGCGGUGAAAUGCUUAGAUAUCACGCAGAACCACGAUUGCGAAGGCAGCUUACCAAACUAUAACUGACACUGAGGCACGAAAGCGUGGGGAUCAAACAGGAUUAGAUACCCUUGUAGUC
rnacentral:rRNA from 1 species